CUGACGGAGAUAAACAUUGUUUGUGUUUUGUGAUGACAUUGUGGAAAACAUACAGUUAUUACAGUAGUAGAUUAGUGAUUUGAUUGAAUUUUAUGGUACGCCAAUAGCCACACAAUAUAAUGAAGGUUUUACAGGAAAUAUAAUGUGUGCAAGUCGUUUUUAAAAUAAAUAAAUACCUCCCAGAACUCAACAAGACCUCCUCAAGAUACAAUUAGACAAAGCCAGAAAACAUGGCAGAAACCCUUGACCCGCUGUCACCGACUGUGAAUAUUUCGCCAAGGAUUGGAAUCCUACAAAAACUAAGGACAAGAUUUGGUAGAAAUGUACCUAUUAAUCGAAAUAACAGUGAAGGAUACGUGGAAUUCGGGGAGUUCCGGGUCGAACGUCCCGGAAUCAAGAAGGUCGGGACAUUCGCCGGCGUCUUCUGUCCCGUCGUGUUAUCUAUGUUUAGCGCUCUCGUGUUUAUACGAAUGGGUUAUUUAGUAGGUAAUGCCGGUCUUCUGGUGACAUUAGCGCAAUUCGCCGUGGCCUACCUCAUAGUGCUGUUCACGGUGACCUCAAUAUGCGCGAUAUCGACAAACGGGGCGGUCGAAGGAGGCGGCGUGUAUUUCAUGUUGAGCAGAACCCUAGGUCCCGAGUUCGGAGGUGCUAUAGGGACUUUAUUCUUCUUCGCGAAUGUGGUUUCCAGUGCUUUGUGCAUAUCAGCGUGCACUGAGGCCUUGGUUGAAAACUUCGGAACCAAUGGGUACUUAGUGGGUGAGAGUGGUGGUAUCCCGGACAGUUGGUGGUACCGCUUCCUGUAUCGCUCCGUGCUGAAUGCGGUCGGGCUGGGCGUGUCCCUGGCGGGCGCCUCGCUGUUCGCCAGGACCAGCCUCGCCAUCUGGGUCACGAUGCUGGUCUGCUUGGCCAGCGCCUUCUUGAGCUUCUUCAUCACGAGCCCCGCGCAGAUCGAGAAGCCAGAUUCGAAUCACUUAAUAAACACGACAUAUCUGAACUACACCGGGCUGAGCGUGUCGACGCUGGCUUCGAACCUGUACCCGCAGUACGGGCGCGACUACACGACGGCGAGCGGGCAGCUCGUGGACUUCGCGUCAGUGCUGGGCGUGCUGUUCACCGGCGUCACCGGCGUCAUGGCCGGCGCCAACAUGAGCGGGGAAUUAAAGCACCCGUCGCGCAGCAUCCCGCGCGGCACGCUCGCGGCGCUGCUGUUCACGGCCGCGUCCUACGCCGCGCUGAGCCUGCUGACGGCCGCCACGUGCUCCAGGGAGCUGCUGCAGAACAACUACGUGUACCUGCUGCCCAUCAACGUGUGGCCACCCUUCAUAGCCGUCGGCAUGAUAGUAGCUACAUUUUCGGCCGCACUCUCCAACCUGAUCGGCGCUUCUAGAGUGUUGGAAGCGUUGGCCAAAGAUGACAUAUUUGGUUUCCUUCUUCGUCCGAUGGUGUCGCGUUCCGGGAACCCGGUGCUGGCGGUGGUGGUGUCCUGGGCGCUGGUGCAGGUGGGCGUGGCGGCGGACUCCCUCAACGCCAUAGCGCAAGUCAACUCGGUCCUCUUCAUGACGAGCUAUUUCGCCAUCAAUCUGGCUUGCCUGGGACUGGAGCUCGCUUCGGCUCCUAACUUCAGGCCGACGUUUCGCCAAUUCUCGUGGGCGACGUCGCUGGCGGGGCUGUGCGGCAGCGCGGCGCUGAUGUUCUCGCUGCGCGCGCUGUACGCGGCGGGCGGCGCGCUGGCGGCCGCGGGGCUGGUGCUGGCGCUGCACCUGCUGUCGCCCGCCGCCGCCGAGCCCAAGUGGGGCAGCCUCAGCCAGGCGCUCAUCUUCCACCAGGUCCGCAAGUAUCUGCUGCUCCUGGACCCGCGGCGAGAGCACGUCAAAUUCUGGAGGCCGCAGAUGCUGCUGUUGGUGGCCUCGCCGAGACAGUCGGCGCCGCUCAUAGACUUCGUCAACGAUCAGAAGAAGGGCGGGCUGUUCGUGCUGGGUCACGUGCGCGUGGGGCGGCUGGACGGCGCGGGGGACCCUCUCGCGGAGGAGCACCAGUACUGGCUGAAGCUCAUCGACCAUCUCAAGGUGAAGGCGUUCGUGGAGCUGUGCCUGGCGGAGUCAGUGCGCAGCGGCGCCGCCCACCUGGCGCGCCUGUCCGGCCUGGGCGCCAUGAAGCCCGACACCGUGCUGCUCGGCUUCUGGGACGACGCGCAGCCGCGGGACUUCUUCAGGGAACCGGAGUCGCCGUACCGCACGGAGCUGUUCGACGCGGGCGGCGGCGCAUUCCCCGCCCGCCGCGCCGGUGCCGCGCGCCUGCCGCCCGCCGAGUACGUGCGCAUACUGUCCGACGUGCUCUGCGUCAACAAGAACGUGUGCAUAUGCAGGCACUUCCAUCUGCUGGACAUGGCGGCGGUCGAACGUAAGUCCCCGAGCUUGAAGUACAUCGACGUGUGGCUGGUGGAUCUGCUGGCGCCGAGCCGCGAGGAGGCAUUCUCGGUGCGGGGGCUGUUCGCGCUGCAGCUGGCGGCCGUGGUGCGGUCCGCGCGUGGCUGGCAGCACCUGCAACUCCGCGUGCACACCACCAGACACGAAGCGAGCCUGACGGUGGGCUCCGGCGACAGUCCGGCGCCGGACGGGCCGCCGCUGCAGCAGCGCCUCGAGGAGUUGCUCAAGCUGCUGCGGAUCAACGCCACCACGCACAUUAUCUCAGAUUGGCCGAAGCUGGACCUGAGCAGGUGGUCCGAUACGGACGAGGACCUGUACCAGCGGGUCCCCGCCACCUACCUCAAGACCGUGAACAGUAUAGUCCGGGAGCGCUGCGAGCAGGGCACCGCCGUGACCUUCGUCCAGCUCAGCGCCCCGCCCCGCGAGGCUGACGAGCUGUGCGAGCAGUACCUGCAGGUGCUAGACGAAUUCACGAAGGAUUUAUCGCCGACGAUUCUAGUGAGGGGCCUAAAGUCGGUCACGUCCACGUCUCUGUAAUGGCGUCGGUGUGCUAGUGAGAGCAAACGGAAUCCGAAUGGUGUCUUAAUUAAUUUGUAACUGGGAGCUUGAAGUUUGCUGAUGUCCGUGGGCGACGGUAACCACUCACCAUCAGGUGGACCAAUAAAGGCAAUAAAAAACGAGGACUGGAGGAACAUGGAGUCUGGUCUACCCUCGCCACGCCAGAACUUCCGCAGGGCUCUAUAAUUUUUAUCAUUAAAUAUUCGUUAAAUUUUAAGAGGACUUAUGAUAGGCUUUUUUAAAUCGACACUUUCAUUUUCAUAUUAGCGCGCUUUAUGACUAAGGCACCUUCUACCAGUAAAUCAAUGGCGAUGCGAAAUGUCUUAGAUGAUAAAUAAAUUAUAUAAAAAUUAAUAUCACACUAUAUUUUAUAC
rnacentral:misc_RNA from 1 species